UACAGAGGUGGCAAGCGUUGUUCGGAAUUACUGGGCGUAAAGGGCGCGUAGGCGGCCUUCUAAGUCAGACGUGAAAUCCCUCGGCUUAACCGGGGAACUGCGUCUGAUACUGGAUGGCUUGAGUUCGGGAGAGGGAUGCGGAAUUCCAGGUGUAGCGGUGAAAUGCGUAGAUAUCAGGAGGAACACCGGUGGCGAAGGCGGGUCUCUGGGCCGAUACUGACGCUGAGGAGCGAAAGCGUGGGGAGCGAACAGG
rnacentral:rRNA from 1 species